AAGCUGGAGCUUGCUCCGGCCGAUUUAGUGGCGGACGGGUGAGUAACGCGUGGGUAACCUGCCUCAUACAGGGGGAUAGCAGUUGGAAACGACUGGUAAAACCGCAUAAGCGCACAGGAUUGCAUGAUCUGGUGUGAAAAACUCCGGUGGUAUAAGAUGGACCCGCGUCUGAUUAGCUGGUUGGUGAGGUAACGGCCCACCAAGGCGACGAUCAGUAGCCGGACUGAGAGGUUGAACGGCCACAUUGGGACUGAGAUACGGCCCAGACUCC
rnacentral:rRNA from 1 species